rnacentral:rRNA from 1 species
UACGUAGGGUGCAGGCGUUAAUCGGAAUUACUGGGCGUAAAGCGUGCGCAGGCGGUCUACUAAGACAGGUGUGAAAUCCCCCGGGCUUAACCUGGGAACUGCGCUUGUAACUGGUAGGCUUGAGUGUGGCAGAGGGGGGUGGAAUUCCAGGUGUAGCAGUGAAAUGCGUAGAUAUCUGGAGGAACACCGAUGGCGAAGGCAGCCCCCUGGGCUAACACUGACGCUCAUGCACGAAAGCGUGGGGAGCAAACAGG